rnacentral:rRNA from 1 species
UCGGCCACAUUGGGACUGAGACACGGCCCAAACUCCUACGGGAGGCAGCAGUAGGGAAUCUUCGGCAAUGGACGAAAGUCUGACCGAGCAACGCCGCGUGAGUGAAGAAGGUUUUCGGAUCGUAAAACUCUGUUGUUAGAGAAGAACAAGGAUGAGAGUAACUGUUCAUCCCUUGACGGUAUCUAACCAGAAAGCCACGGCUAACUACGUGCCAGCAGCCGCGGUAAUACGUAGGUGGCAAGCGUUGUCCGGAUUUAUUGGGCGUAAAGCGAGCGCAGGCGGUUUCUUAAGUCUGAUGUGAAAGCCCCCGGCUCAACCGGGGAGGGUCAUUGGAAACUGGGAGACUUGAGUGCAGAAGAGGAGAGUGGAAUUCCAUGUGUAGCGGUGAAAUGCGUAGAUAUAUGGAGGAACACCAGUGGCGAAGGCGGCUCUCUGGUCUGUAACUGACGCUGAGGCUCGAAAGCGUGGGGAGCAAACAGGAUUAGAUACCCUGGUAGUCCACGCCGUAAACGAUGAGUGCUAAGUGUUGGAGGGUUUCCGCCCUUCAGUGCUGCAGCUAACGCAUUAAGCACUCCGCCUGGGGAG